UACGGGGGGGGCAAGCGUCGUUCGGAAUUACUGGGCGUAAAGGGCUCGUAGGCGGCCUGCUAAGUCGGCUGUGAAAGCCCUCGGCUUAACCGAGGAAUUGCGGCCGAGACUGGCAGGCUUGGAUCCGGGAGAGGGAUGCGGAAUUCCAGGAGUAGCGGUGAAAUGCGUAGAUAUCUGGAGGAACACCGGUGGCGAAGGCGGCAUCCUGGACCGGUAUCGACGCUGAGGAGCGAAAGCCAGGGGAGCAAACGGG
rnacentral:rRNA from 1 species